AACGCGAAGAACCUUACCUGGGCUCGAAAUACAGUGCAUCGGGGUAGAAAUAUCCCUUCCCGCAAGGGGCGCUGCAUAGGUGCUGCAUGGCUGUCGUCAGCUCGUGUCGUGAGAUGUUGGGUUAAGUCCCGCAACGAGCGCAACCCUUAUUGCCAGUUGCCAUCAUUUAGUUGGGCACUCUGGCGAAACUGCCCCGGAUAACGGGGAGGAAGGUGGGGAUGACGUCAAGUCCUCAUGGCCUUUAUGUCCAGGGCUACACACGUGCUACAAUGGCCGGUACAAACCGUCGCAAACCCGCGAGGGGGAGCUAAUCGGAAAAAGCCGGUCUCAGUCCGGAUUGGAGUCUGCAACUCGACUCCAUGAAGCUGGAAUCGCUAGUAAUCGCGGAUCAGCACGCCGCGGUGAAUACGUUCCCGGGCCUUGUACACACCGUAGUAC
rnacentral:rRNA from 1 species